rnacentral:sRNA from 1 species
UAGUUCGGCUCCGCCAUGCCGGCCGCCGGGAGUAACGAGCCGGACGGCGUCCUCAGCUAUCAGAGACCAGAUGAAGAAGCUGUGGUGGAUCAGGGUGGGACCAGUACAAUUCUCAACAUUCACUAUGAAAAAGAAGAGCUGGAAGGUCAUAGAACUCUAUAUGUGGGAGUUCGGAUGCCGCUUGGCCGGCAGAGCCAUCGGCAUCACCGCACUCAUGGCCAGAAGCACCGGAGACGAGGGCGGGGCAAAGGAGCCAGCCAGGGGGAGGAAGGCCUGGAAGCCCUGGCCCACGACACACCAUCUCAGCGUGUUCAGUUCAUUCUUGGCACCGAGGAAGAUGAAGAGCAUGUGCCUCAUGAGCUGUUUACAGAGCUGGAUGAGAUCUGUAUGAAAGAGGGAGAAGAUGCUGAGUGGAAGGAAACAGCCAGGUGGCUGAAGUUUGAAGAAGAUGUUGAAGAUGGGGGAGAACGCUGGAGCAAGCCUUAUGUGGCAACCCUUUCAUUGCACAGCCUGUUUGAGCUAAGGAGCUGCCUUAUUAAUGGAACAGUCCUUCUGGAUAUGCGUGCAAAUAGCAUAGAAGAAAUUUCAGACCUCAUCCUGGAUCAGCAAGAACUGUCCAGUGACCUGAAUGACAGCAUGAGGGUUAAAGUGCGGGAAGCCCUUCUCAAAAAGCAUCAUCAUCAGAAUGAAAAGAAGAGAAACAACCUCAUUCCCAUUGUUCGCUCCUUUGCUGAGGUUGGCAAGAAGCAGUCUGAUCCUCAUUCAAUGGAUAAACAUGGUCAAACCGUGUCUCCUCAGUCUGUUCCAACUACAAAUCUUGAAGUAAAAAAUGGAGUGAAUUGUGAACAUAGUCCUGUGGAUUUAAGCAAGGUAGACCUUCAUUUCAUGAAAAAAAUUCCUACUGGGGCUGAGGCCUCCAAUGUCCUGGUUGGAGAGGUGGAUAUUUUGGACCGUCCCAUUGUUGCCUUUGUGAGGCUGUCUCCAGCUGUUCUUCUCUCAGGCCUAACAGAAGUGCCAAUCCCAACAAGAUUUUUGUUUAUCUUAUUGGGUCCAGUAGGGAAAGGUCAGCAGUACCAUGAGAUUGGCAGAUCCAUGGCCACCAUCAUGACAGAUGAGAUUUUUCAUGACGUAGCAUAUAAGGCAAAAGAGCGAGAUGAUCUCCUGGCGGGGAUUGAUGAGUUCCUAGACCAGGUGACGGUGCUCCCUCCAGGAGAGUGGGAUCCCUCCAUUAGAAUUGAGCCACCCAAAAACGUCCCUUCCCAGGAGAAAAGGAAAAUGCCUGGAGUUCCAAAUGGAAAUGUUUGCCACAUAGAACAGGAACCACAUGGGGGUCACAGUGGGCCAGAACUUCAGCGCACUGGGCGGCUAUUUGGGGGCUUGGUGCUGGACAUCAAGCGGAAGGCCCCCUGGUACUGGAGUGACUACCGGGAUGCACUCAGCUUACAGUGUUUGGCCUCCUUUCUGUUCCUGUACUGUGCCUGCAUGUCACCUGUCAUCACCUUUGGGGGAUUGCUUGGAGAAGCCACUGAGGGACGCAUAAGUGCAAUUGAAUCCUUGUUUGGAGCCUCCAUGACUGGGAUUGCUUAUUCCUUGUUUGCGGGACAGGCUCUCACCAUCCUGGGAAGUACUGGACCAGUGCUUGUGUUUGAAAAGAUUUUGUUCAAAUUCUGCAAAGACUAUGCUCUUUCAUAUCUCUCCCUGCGAGCUUGUAUUGGACUGUGGACCGCUUUCCUGUGUAUUGUCCUUGUGGCAACUGAUGCCAGUUCACUUGUCUGCUACAUUACCCGUUUCACUGAAGAAGCAUUUGCCUCCCUAAUUUGCAUUAUUUUCAUCUACGAAGCAAUAGAAAAACUGAUUCACCUGGCAGAGACCUACCCCAUCCACAUGCACAGCCAGCUGGACCACCUUAGCCUCUAUUACUGCAGGUGUACUCUCCCAGAGAAUCCAAACAAUCACACCCUCCAGUACUGGAAGGACCACAACAUCGUGACAGCAGAAGUCCACUGGGCUAACCUGACUGUCAGUGAAUGCCAGGAGAUGCACGGAGAGUUCAUGGGAUCUGCAUGCGGCCAUCAUGGACCCUACACUCCUGAUGUCCUCUUUUGGUCCUGUAUUCUCUUUUUCACCACCUUCAUCCUUUCAAGCACCUUAAAGACGUUUAAGACGAGCCGUUAUUUCCCAACCAGAGUACGCUCCAUGGUGAGUGACUUUGCUGUUUUCCUCACUAUCUUCACAAUGGUGAUUAUUGAUUUUUUGAUUGGAGUCCCAUCACCAAAGCUUCAAGUUCCCAGUGUGUUCAAGCCAACAAGGGAUGAUCGUGGAUGGAUUAUUAAUCCCAUUGGCCCCAAUCCCUGGUGGACUGUGAUAGCUGCAAUUAUCCCAGCUCUUCUCUGUACUAUCUUGAUAUUCAUGGAUCAGCAGAUCACAGCCGUCAUUAUUAACAGAAAGGAACAUAAGCUCAAGAAAGGCUGUGGCUACCACCUGGACCUACUGAUGGUCGCCAUCAUGCUUGGUGUCUGCUCCAUCAUGGGCCUGCCCUGGUUUGUAGCUGCAACUGUCUUGUCCAUCACACAUGUGAACAGCCUCAAGCUAGAAUCUGAAUGCUCUGCUCCUGGAGAACAGCCCAAGUUCCUGGGCAUCCGAGAACAGAGAGUGACAGGCCUUAUGAUCUUUGUGCUGAUGGGCUGCUCAGUCUUCAUGACGGCUAUCUUAAAGUUUAUUCCAAUGCCGGUACUCUAUGGAGUUUUCCUCUACAUGGGAGUUUCUUCACUACAGGGAAUUCAGUUUUUUGAUCGUCUAAAGCUCUUUGGGAUGCCCGCAAAGCACCAGCCAGAUUUCAUCUACCUGCGGCAUGUGCCGCUGCGCAAAGUGCACCUCUUCACCCUCAUCCAGUUGACCUGUCUCGUCCUGCUCUGGGUCAUCAAGGCAUCUCCAGCUGCCAUUGUUUUCCCAAUGAUGGUUUUGGCCUUGGUCUUUGUCAGGAAAGUCAUGGAUCUCUGUUUCUCUAAGCGAGAGCUAAGCUGGUUAGAUGAUCUCAUGCCUGAAAGCAAAAAGAAGAAGUUGGAUGAUGCCAAAAAGAAGGCCAAGGAGGAAGAGGUCAUAGUCCUUGCACCAACUGUAUACCUGGGGGCCUCAAAUUACAGAACAUAGGAAGGGCCAUGUGAAAAGUCAGCAUGUCUGGAAUCCCGAGGGUUAUAUUUAGGAGCUGGGAAGAUUACCCUCAAAGAUGUUCUCAGCUAAGAAUGGAUUAGGGAUUAUUGCUUCUGUCUGUUCUUCAUUUUUGGGUUUGACAACCAGUUAUUUUUUCCUUUGUUUACAAUCUACUCACCAGGCUUAUACCUAGAAUGUGAACCUACAAUAUGCCCUUAUUAGCAGAUUCAAUGGCUCACAUUCUUUCAAAAGGUCUAAUUUGACAAAUACGUAAGACCCAUUAUUUCCUAGAAUGUUUGUAAUGUGUCUAAUUGCAAAUGGUGCUGUGGUUGGCACCAUGCAAAGAUAACUUGCAUAGGACUUUGUCUUUUUUCAUUUCCCUCAGUACUUGGCAUCUUGUCAUCUACACAAUGGACCCUCAAAAAAUGGCCUAUAUAUGCAAAGAAAGAAUGUGUAGCAAAAUGAAAAUACCAGACCAAGAAAUGAGUGAGCUCAGAAGUGUUUCUAAAUACAGUUAGUGCCUAAAAUAGUGUCCUUUGAAAAAACUUUUAAAAGACUUUUUUUAGGCCAGGCACAAUGGAUUAUCCCUGUAAUUCCAGGGCUUUGGGAGUUGAGGCUGGAGGAUUACUUGAGGCCAGGAGUUUGAGACUAGCCUAGGCAACAUAAUGAGACCCUGUCUCU